rnacentral:rRNA from 1 species
AUUGAACGCUGGGGGCAUGCCUUACACAUGCAAGUCGAACGGUAACAGGUCUUCGGAUGCUGACGAGUGGCGAACGGGUGAGUAAUACAUCGGAACGUGCCUAGUAGUGGGGGAUAACUACUCGAAAGAGUGGCUAAUACCGCAUGAGAUCUACGGAUGAAAGCAGGGGAUCGCAAGACCUUGUGCUACUAGAGCGGCCGAUGGCGGAUUAGGUAGUUGGUGGGAUAAAAGCUUACCAAGCCGACGAUCUGUAGCUGGUCUGAGAGGACGAGCAGCCACACUGGGACUGGGACACGGCCAAGACUCCUACGGGAGGCAGCAGGGGGGAAUUUUGGACCAUGGGCGCAAGCCUGAUCCAGCAAUGCCGCGUGCAGGAUGAAGGCCUUCGGGUUGUAAACUGCUUUUGUACGGAACGAAAAGCCCUGGGUUAAUACCCUGGGGUCAUGACGGUACCGUAAGAAUAAGCACCGGCUAACUACGUGCCAGCAGCCGCCGUAACAC